rnacentral:lncRNA from 1 species
CUCCGUUGUGCCAAUCCUUGGAGAAUCUCUAUCUCCUCUGGUGCUGUUUCCUGAUACUGUUACAAUCUGGAUCUCUCUCCUUUACAUCCCAUUUUUUUUUUUUUGGUAAAUGAUGACUCUUCCCAUUUUGUAUUGUUCUUAAUAAAUUUCCCUACCUCCUUCUAGAUAAUUUAGAUAAUUAUGAGUGUACUGGGGCAAUCACAAAGUGAAAGAUUUUGAAAUUCUUAGCCUUUAUCAACUGUUCUAUCAUUCCCAUUCUUUUCUGUGAUAUGUGACUUUCAAUUUUACAUUUACUUUGAGAGUUUGUGAAUAUGAAAUCAAAAAGGCAUUAUCAUUAUUAUAAGUACAGACACUACUUAUUUGAGAAUAUGUGAUUUCCUAAUUUAUACCGGUCAUGACGCCUAAGUUUAAAGUUACUAUUGAUACAUGAUUGUUUCAUAUUACACACACACGCACACACAUAUACAUAUUAAAACCUGAGAGUUGGAGAGAACAAUCAGCUGAGCUAAAACAAGUAGGAACUUUGAGGAGAGACAAUGAAAGUUUCCUUGAAGUAUAAAUAAGAUUCUUAGAGUCAGUAGUAAGUAAAAUUUUUCAGAAUGGUUUGCUUUUUCUGUAAGAAAGUACGCCAAACAACUUAGUUUAUUUUAAAAGGGAAAAAUGCACACCCACAUACUUCAUCAUUGCUCGUCACGUUUCUGCAUCCUUCCAUGCCUGGCUUUCUGGACCCAUCUGGACAGAUGGCGGUAAUGUUAAAAUAGAUGCCUUGUACCUGGUUUUCCACCUGAACUUUCACUUCUGAAAUGAGCUUCUGCAGAGACAUUAUUUUUAAAUUACAUACGAGAGUAGUUUCAAAUGUCAGCAACAAAGCAGAGUCAAGCUUAUUAAAUCAUUAUAGAUUUAAUUUUAACUAGAUCAAAGAGUCUGUUUCUAUAAAAGGAUGAAUAAAAACAGUGUUUCCACAUAAUGACCCAAUUAUAUUUGAAAUACAUAAGAAAUACUGAAGGAUUAGAUUAUCUGCAUUCAAAUUGUUCUAUUUUUUUU